CUAGAGAGGUCGUCAGAUCCACAGCACUCGCAUAACCUGCAAACUUUCUUAGUAGCGACGCCUCACGGAAGAUUUGUAUCCCCUCGGCUAUCUCAACCAACAGGAUGAGAUUGGCGAUGUUGACGGUGUGUGUGGUGGUAACGAGAGGCAUCACAUGGGAGGGGAAGUACGACGUCUGGACCACCAACCAGAGGCCAGGUUUGAGGAGUAAAGCUUUUGAAGAGGGUCGACAACGGUGUUACUGUAUGAUGAAAGCGGCCGUCAACAUGAACUCGGCUACUGCUCCAACCACCACAACUACCACCAUUACGCCAACUACCACCAUUACGCCAACUACCACCAUUACGCCAACUACCACC